rnacentral:pre_miRNA from 1 species
GUGAUUUCUGGUGUGGCAUCAUCAAGAUUCACACAAUGUAUGGCAUGCAUGCAAUGCUCUCCUCCUUCCUCAUCCAUGCAUGGGAGGUGGGUGGAUUGAUGAGCUUGCUACCUAGCCAGCGUACUAUGUGUGGGAAUCUUGAUGAUGCUGCAUCGGUGAUCAA